rnacentral:rRNA from 1 species
AAGGAUCAUUACUGAAUUGUCAACAAGAGUUGUUGCUGGUCCCCAGAUGGGGGCAUGUGCACGCUCUGUUAACACAUCCACUCACACCCUGUGCACCCUCUGCAGUUCUAUGGUUGGGGGGGACCUGUCCUCUCCUGCUGUGGUUCUGCAUCUUUACAUACACACUGUAACAAAGUCUCAUGGAAUGCAUGCCGCGUUUAACGCAAUAAAAUACAACUUUCAGCAACGGAUCUCUUGGCUCUCGCAUCGAUGAAGAACGCAGCGAAAUGCGAUAAGUAAUGUGAAUUGCAGAAUUCAGUGAAUCAUCGAAUCUUUGAACGCACCUUGCGCCCUUUGGCAUUCCGAAGGGCAUGCCUGUUUGAGUAUCAUGAACACCUCAACUCUUCAUGGUUUUCCAUGAUGAGCUUGGACUUUGGGGGUCUUGCUGGCCUGCGGUCGGCUCCUCUCAAAUGAAUCAGCUUGCCAGUGUUUGGUGGGCAUCACAGGUGUGAUAACUAUCUGCGCUUGUGGUUUUCCACCAGGUAACCUUCAGCAGUGGAGGUUCGCUGGAGCUCACAGAUGUCUCUCCUCAGUGAGGACAGCCCUUUGAAUGUUUGAUCUCAAAUCAGGUAGGACUACCCGCUGAACUUAA